GACGCCGGCGGUGAGGUGAUGCAGCGGGGAGGUCGUCGGCGCGUAGAGAGCAUGGCGGGAUGGAUGGAGACUCCAAUCCCAUGGUUAUGCCCGCAAGGAAGGCGGGGGAAGGCUGGAGGCAACGUUUCUGUUCUACCAGCAGCUCUUCUUCAUCAAUUCAUGGUAUAAGCUGCACUGUAAGAAGAGCAAAGUUGGCAAUUUACCUUGAAGGAAACUCAUGAUAAAUGUGAAUCAAGAGAAAAUUGCUAUAGGUCUCUCCAGUUGCUUCCAUGCUGAGUAUUUUAGAGAUGAAAUAACACUCUUUGCAAUUCUGUGGCUGGUGGAUCAAUUAAUACAUGUAAGACAGAUACUAAUGCAUAUUCCAACUUUUCUACAUAACAUUCAAAGUCGAUCUCUAUCCAAAAAUAGAAGGUACAAAAUCUUCGUUAGGUCAAGCUUUGCAGACCCAACUAAGUUGUUCAAGGUCUUUUUGAAGAAGCCUGAAGAAUCAGUGGGAAUGCAAUAUUCAGAUCCAGAAGGGCUCCACAAUAAGAGGUGACUCGAUGUCUCGGGAGAGUAUUUGCGGUGAUGGACCGGGAGUCGGCUUGGGGAUAAGA